AUCCAGCUGACAAGUCCCAAAUAGGACGAAACACGCGCUCUGCAU
rfam:Schistosoma haematobium scaffold811_8, whole genome shotgun sequence.